GAGCUGCAGCCACAUCCCUGCAGCUCAGCAGCAGGGGCUGCAGGGAUGUGGCUGCAGCUCAGCAGCAGGGGCUGCAGGGAUGUGGCUGCUGAGCUGCAGCCACAUCCCUGCAGCCACAUCC